rnacentral:rRNA from 1 species
UAACACGUAAGUGACCUGUCCCGGAGCGGGGGAUAAACCGGAGAAAUUCGGUGUAAUACCCCGUACGUUCCAGCGAUUUCGGUCGUUGGUAGAAAGGUUGUUGCCUUCGGGUAAUCGCCGCUCCGGGAGGGGCUUGCGGCCUAUCAGGUAGUUGGUGGGGUAAAAGCCUACCAAGCCAUAGACGGGUAACCGGUGUGAGAGCAUGAUCGGUCAGAGGGGGACUGAGACACGGCCCCCACUCCUACGGGAGGCAGCAGCAGGGAAUCUUGCGCAAUGGGCGAAAGCCUGACGCAGCGACACCGCGUGGGGGAUGAAGGCCUUAGGGUUGUAAACCCCUUUUCUCGGGGAAGAGGACGGACGGUACCCGAGGAAUAAGGAUCGGCUAACUACGUGCCAGCAGCCGCGGUAAUACGUAGGAUCCGAGCGUUGUCCGGAUUUACUGGGCGUAAAGGGUGCGUAGGCGGCGCGGUAAGUCUCAUGUGAAAUCUCCCGGCUCAACUGGGAGGGGUCAUGGGAAACUGCCACGCUCGAGGGCAGCAGAGGAGAGCGGAAUUCCGGGAGUAGCGGUGAUAUGCGUAGAUACCCGGAGGAACACCCGUGGCGAAAGCGGCUCUCUGGACUGUACCUGACGCUAAGGCACGAAAGCGUGGGGAGCAAACCGGAUUAGAUACCCGGGUAGUCCACGCCCUAAACGAUGGAUACUAGAUGUGGGGGGUAUCGACCCCCCCCGUGUCGAAGCUAACGCGAUAAGUAUCCCGCCUGGGGAGUACGGCCGCAAGGCUAAAACUCAAAGGAAUUGACGGGUCCCCGCACAAGCAGCGGAGCGUGUGGUUUAAUUCGAUGAAAAGCGAAGAACCUUACCAGGGCUUGACAUGAUUCCGACCGCCUGCG